UUGGAAACUGGUCGAACUUGAGUGCAGUAGAGGUAAGUGGAACUCCAUGUGUAGCGGUGGAAUGCGUAGAUAUAUGGAAGAACACCAGUGGCGAAGGCGGCUUACUGGACUGCAACUGACGUUGAGGCUCGAAAGUGUGGGUAGCAAACAGGAUUAGAUACCCUGGUAGUCCACACCGUAAACGAUGAACACUAGGUGUUAGAGGGUUUCCGCCCUUUAGUGCCGAAGCUAACGCAUUAAGUGUUCCGCCUGGGGAGUACGACCGCAAGGUUGAAACUCAAAGGAAUUGACGGGGACCCGCACAAGCGG
rnacentral:rRNA from 1 species